rnacentral:rRNA from 1 species
UACAGAGGGUGCGAGCGUUGUCCGGAAUCACUGGGCGUAAAGGGCGCGUAGGUGGCGCAACAAGUCAGUGGUGAAAGCUCGACGCUCAACGUCGAGUCGGCCACUGAGACUGUUGGGCUUGAGCACUGUAGAGGCUAAUGGAAUUCCUGGUGUAGCGGUGAAAUGCGCAGAUAUCAGGAGGAACACCGGUGGCGAAGGCGGUUCUCUGGGCCUGUUCUGACGCUGAGGAGCGAAAGCGUGGGGAGCGAACAGG